AGAGUUUGAUCCUGGCUCAGGAUAAACGCUGGCGGUGUGCUUUAUGCAUGCAAGUCGAACGGGCUACCGCAAGGUAGUCAGUGGCGAACGGGUGAGUAACACGUAAGUAACCUGCCCUCAAGUGGGGAAUAAUCCGCCGAAAGGCGGACUAAUACCGCAUGUGGUCCUUAUCGUAAAGGUAAGGACUAAAGCCCGCCUCUGGCGGGCGCUAGAGGAGGGGCUUGCGUCCGAUUAGCUUGUUGGUGAGGUAACGGCCCACCAAGGCGACGAUCGGUAGCUGGUCUGAGAGGGCGACCAGCCACACGGGGACUGAGACACGGCCCCGACUCCUACGGGAGGCAGCAGCAAGGAAUAUUGGGCAAUGGGCGAAAGCCUGACCCAGCGACACCACGUGGGGGAAGAAGACCUUCGGGUUGUAAACCCCUUUUCCCGGGGAAGAAUAAUGACGGUACCUGGGGAAUAAGCCUCGGCUAACUACGUGCCAGCAGCCGCGGUAAUACGUAGGAGGCGAGCGUUAUCCGGAUUCACUGGGCGUAAAGCGGGCGUAGGCGGCCUGUCAAGUCCGAUGUGAAAUCUCCCGGCUUAACUGGGAGGGUGCAUCAGAAACUGAUGGGCUGGAGUGCAGCAGAGGGAGAUGGAAUUCCCGGUGUAGUGGUGAAAUGCGUA
rnacentral:rRNA from 1 species